UACGGAGGAUCCGAGCGUUAUCCGGAUUUAUUGGGUUUAAAGGGUGCGCAGGCGGGGGAUUAAGUCGGCGGUGAAAUUUUGCAGCUCAACUGUAAAAGUUCCUUCGAAACUGGUUUCCUUGAGUGUAGAUGAAGUAGGCGGAAUUUGUGGUGUAGCGGUGAAAUGCAUAGAUAUCACGAGGAACUCCGAUUGCGCAGGCAGCUUACUAAACUACUACUGACGCUCAGGCACGAAGGCGUGGGGAUCAAACAGGAUUAGAUACCCCCGUAGUCCCUGAG
rnacentral:rRNA from 1 species